UAGUAACGGCGAGUGAAGCGGCAACAGCUCAAAUUUGAAAGCUGGCUCCGGCCCGCGUUGUAAUUUGCAGAGGAUGCUUCUGGCGAGGUGCCUUCCGAGUUCCCUGGAACGGGACGCCAUAGAGGGUGAGAGCCCCGUAUGGAUGGACACCAAACCUGUGUGAAGCUCCUUCAACGAGUCGAGUAGUUUGGGAAUGCUGCUCUAAAUGGGAGGUAAAUCUCUUCUAAAGCUAAAUACCGGCCAGAGACCGAUAGCGCACAAGUAGAGUGAUCGAAAGAUGAAAAGCACCUUGAAAAGGGGGUUAAACAGUACGUGAAAUUGUUGAAAGGGAAGCGCUUGUGACCAGACUUGCGCCGGGCAGCUCAUCAGGGGUUCUCCCCUGUGCACUCUGCCCGGCUCAGGCCAGCAUCGGUUCUCGUGGGAGGAUAAGAACGGUAGGAACGUGGCCCCCCUCCGGGGGGGUGUUAUAGCCUGCCGUACGAUACUCCCGUGGGGACCGAGGUUCGCGCUCCGCAAGGAUGCUGGCGUAAUGGUCAUCAGCGACCCGUCUUGAAACACGGACCAAGGAGUCGUCCAUUAGAGCGAGCGUUUGGGUGUAAAACCCGCACGCGUAAUGAAAGUGAACGCAGGUGAGAGCUUCGGCGCAUCAUCGACCGAUCCUGAUGUCUUCGGAUGGAUUUGAGUAAGAGUUUUAACGGACGGACCCGAAAGACAGUGAACUAUGCUUGUAUAGGGUGAAGCCAGAGGAAACUCUGGUGGAGGCUCGCAGCGGUUCUGACGUGCAAAUCGAUCGUCAAAUAUGAGCAUGGGGGCGAAAGAC
rnacentral:rRNA from 1 species